AUUAAAGAGUGUAAAAACUCCCAACCCAUGUGAACUUUACCUUCCCCUCGGGCCCCUAAAAAGGCCCCUGGGCGUUGCUUCGGCUCCUCUCGGGGAGUCGGAGGUACCAAACUUUUGUUUUUAAAGUAUCUCUGAGGCCUAUUGGCAACUAUAACAACUUUCAACAACGGAUCUCUUGGCUCCAGCAUCGAUGAAGAACGCAGCGAAAUGCGAUAAGUAUUGUGAAUUGCAGAAUCCAGUGAAUCAUCGAAUCUUUGAACGCACAUUGCGCCCGCCGGAAUUCCGGCGGGCAUGCCUGUUCGAGCGUCAUUUCAACCCUCAAAUCCCCCGGAUUUGGUGUUGGGACGUCCGCGUCAGCGGGGGUCCUCAAAUCUAUAGGCGGUACCGCACGGCACUGAACGCAGUAAUCUUUAUUCGUUUGGUAAGUCGGGCGGCUGCUUGCCUCUAAACCCUUCUUUCUAAGGUUGACCUCGGAUCAGGUAGGAAUACCCGCUGAACUUAAGCAUAUCAAUAAGCGGAGGAAAAGAAACCAACAGGGAUUGCCUCAGUAACGGCGAGUGAAGCGGCAACAGCUCAAAUUUGAAAUCUGGCCUUCGGGUCCGAGUUGUAAUUUG
rnacentral:rRNA from 1 species